rnacentral:rRNA from 1 species
CGGCGGACGGGUGAGUAACACGUGGAUAACCUACCUAUAAGACUGGGAUAACUUCGGGAAACCGGAGCUAAUACCGGAUAAUAUAUUGAACCGCAUGGUUCAAUAGUGAAAGACGGUUUUGCUGUCACUUAUAGAUGGAUCCGCGCCGCAUUAGCUAGUUGGUAAGGUAACGGCUUACCAAGGGAACGAUGCGUAGCCGACCUGAGAGGGUGAUCGGCCACACUGGAACUGAGACACGGUCCAG